rnacentral:rRNA from 1 species
AAUCAACGCUGGCGGCGUGCCUAACACAUGCAAGUUGAGCGCUUGAGGGGGGCAACCCCCAAGAGAGCAGCGAACGGGUGAGUAACGCGUGGGUGAUCUUCCUUCGAGUGGGGAACAACAUCGGGAAACUGGUGCUAAUUCCGCAUAAUAUCCCGGGGCUACGAGCCUCAGGAUCAAAGCCGGGGGACCGCAAGGCCUGGCGCUUGAAGAUGAGCCCGCGUCCGAUUAGCUAGUUGGCGGGGGUAAUGGCCCACCAAGGCUUCGAUCGGUAGCCGGCCUGAGAGGGCGGACGGCCACACUGGAACUGAGACACGGUCCAGACUCCUACGGGAGGCAGCAGUGGGGAAUUUUUCGCAAUGGGCGCAAGCCUGACGAAGCAACGCCGCGUGGAGGAUGAAGGUCUUCGGAUUGUAAACUCCUGUCGACCGGGACGAAUGCACUCGACCUAAUACGUCGGAAUGUUGACGGUACCGGUGGAGGAAGCCACGGCUAACUCUGUGCCAGCAGCC